rnacentral:misc_RNA from 1 species
UCACUAAUCAAGCCUGGCUUGCUGUUGGACCUUCGUCGUAAAUAGACAGGUCCCAAAGAUAAUGACGGCGUCAAUUGGACCCUAGAUGCAACGAGCUUUUAUUAGCACGCAUGUUAGAAGCCUUUUGACCCGGUCUUUAAACCAAUUUUCUCA